AUACGUAGGGGGCGAGCGUUGUCCGGAAUUACUGGGCGUAAAGGGCGUGUAGGCGGCCGAGCAAGUCAAGUGUGAAAAGCCUCGGCUUAACCGAGGCAUUGCACAUGAAACUGCUUGGCUUGAGUGCAGGAGAGGGAAGUGGAAUUCCUAGUGUAGCGGUGAAAUGCGUAGAUAUUAGGAGGAACACCAGUGGCGAAGGCGACUUCCUGGACUGUAACUGACGCUGAGGCGCGAAAGCGUGGGUAGCAAACAGGAUGAGAUACCCUGGUAGUCCACGCCGUAGACGAUGGGUACUAGGUGUGGGUAGUUCAUACUAUCCGUGCCGCAGCAAACGCAAUAAGUACCCCGCCUGGGGAGUACGGCCGCAAGGUUGAA
rnacentral:rRNA from 1 species